rnacentral:rRNA from 1 species
CCUACGGGAUGCAGCAGUGGGGAAUAUUGGGCAAUGGACGGAACCCUGAUCCAGCAACGCCGCGUGAGUGAAGAAGCGUUUCGGCGCGUAAAGCCCUAUCGGCAGGGAAGAAGGUGACUGUACCUGACCAAUUAACACCGUGAAAAUAUGUGCCAGCAGCCGCAGGAAUAAGGAGGGGGCAGGAGUUAGCCGGAUUUACUGGUGGUAAAGGGGGUGCAGACGGCACUGCAAGUCAGGAGUGAAAGCCCGGGGCCCAACCCAGAGACUGCUUUUGGUACUUUAUGGCUGGAGUACAGGAGGGGCAGGCGGAAUUCCUAGUGUAGCGGUGAAAUGCGUAGAUAUUAGGAGGAACACCGGUGGCGAAGGCGGCCUGCUGGACUGUGACUGACGUUGAGGCCCGAAGGCGUGGGGAGCAAACAGGAUUAGAUACCCCUGUAGUC